rnacentral:rRNA from 1 species
GUAUAAUUGAAUGGCAUCAUUUGAUUAUUAAAGUUCCAACGGUAUAAGAUGAGCAUGCGUCCCAUUAGCUAGUUGGUGUGGUAACGGCACACCAAGGCGACGAUGGUAGGGGUCCUGAGAGGGAGAUCCCCCACACUGGUACUGAGACACGGACCAGACUCCUACGGGAGGCAGCAGUGAGGAAUAUUGGUCAAUGGGCGCAAGCCUGAACCAGCCAUGCCGCGUGCAGGAUGACGGUCCUAUGGAUUGUAAACUGCUUUUGUACAGGAAGAAACACUCCCUCGUGAGGGAGCUUGACGGUACUGUAAGAAUAAGGAUCGGCUAACUCCGUG